rnacentral:rRNA from 1 species
AGCGAACGCUGGCGGCAGGCUUAACACAUGCAAGUCGAGCGCCCCGCAAGGGGAGCGGCAGACGGGAGAGUAACACGUGGGAACGUACCUUUCGGUUCGGAACAACCCAGGGAAACUUGGGCUAAUACCGGAUACGCCCGUAAGGGGAAAGAUUUAUCGCCGGAAGAUCGGCCCGCGUCUGAUUAGCUAGUUGGUGAGGUAAUGGCUCACCAAGGCGACGAUCAGUAGCUGGUCUGAGAGGAUGAUCAGCCUCACUGGGACUGAGACACG